AAUUCAAGGGUGUGGCGCGAGCUCCUUAGGGAGCGAAGCAAUUGGAAGUGGUUCCAAGAAAAGCCUCUAAGCUUCAGUCUAACGAUGACCGUACCGCAAACCGACACAGGUGGGCGAGAUGAGUAUUCUAAGGCGCUUGAGAGAACUCGGGAGAAGGAACUCGGCAAAUUGGUACCGUAACUUCGGGAUAAGGUACGCCCUUGUAGCUUGACUGGCCUGCGCCAGGAGGGUGAAGGGGUUGCAAUAAACUGGUGGCUGCGACUGUUUAAUAAAAACACAGCACUCUGCAAACACGAAAGUGGACGUAUAGGGUGUGACGCCUGCCCGGUGCCGGAAGAUUAAAUGAUGGGGUGCAAGCUCUUGAUUGAAGUCCCGGUAAACGGCGGCCGUAACUAUAACGGUCCUAAGGUAGCGAAAUUCCUUGUCGGGUAAGUUCCGACCUGCACGAAUGGCGUAACGAUGGCCACACUGUCUCCUCCCGAGACUCAGCGAAGUUGAAGUGUUUGUGAUGAUGCAAUCUACCCGCGGCUAGACGGAAAGACCCCAUGAACCUUUACUGUAGCUUUGCAUUGGACUUUGAACCGAUCUGUGUAGGAUAGGUGGGAGGCUAUGAAACCGGAACGCUAGUUUCGGUGGAGCCGUCCUUGAAAUACCACCCUGGUUUGUUUGAGGUUCUAACCUUGGCCCGUGAUCCGGGUCGGGGACAGUGCAUGGUAGGCAGUUUGACUGGGGCGGUCUCCUCCCAAAGCGUAACGGAGGAGUACGAAGGUACGCUAGGUACGGUCGGAAAUCGUGCUGAUAGUGCAAUGGCAUAAGCGUGCUUAACUGCGAGACCGACAAGUCGAGCAGGUGCGAAAGCAGGUCAUAGUGAUCCGGUGGUUCUGUAUGGAAGGGCCAUCGCUCAACGGAUAAAAGGUACUCUGGGGAUAACAGGCUGAUACCGCCCAAGAGUUCAUAUCGACGGCGGUGUUUGGCACCUCGAUGUCGGCUCAUCUCAUCCUGGGGCUGUAGCCGGUCCCAAGGGUAUGGCUGUUCGCCAUUUAAAGAGGUACGUGAGCUGGGUUUAAAACGUCGUGAGACAGUUUGGUCCCUAUCUGCCGUGGGCGUUGGAUAUUUGAAGGGGGCUGCUCCUAGUACGAGAGGACCGGAGUGGACGAACCUCUGGUGUACCGGUUGUCACGCCAGUGGCAUCGCCGGGUAGCUAUGUUCGGAAGAGAUAACCGCUGAAAGCAUCUAAGCGGGAAACUCGCCUUAAGAUGAGAUAUCCCUGGGGACUAGAUCCCCUUGAAGGGUCGUUCGAGACCAGGACGUUGAUAGGUCAGGUGUGUAAGCGCAGUAAUGCGUUCAGCUAACUGAUACUAAUUGCCCGUAAGGCUUGAUCCU
rnacentral:rRNA from 1 species